rnacentral:rRNA from 1 species
AGAGUUUGAUCCUGGCUCAGGACGAACGCUGGCGGCGUGCUUAACACAUGCAAGUCGAACGGAAAGGUCUCUUCGGAGAUACUCGAGUGGCGAACGGGUGAGUAACACGUGGGUAAUCUGCCCUGCACUUCGGGAUAAGCCUGGGAAACUGGGUCUAAUACCGAAUAGGACCAUGAGACGCAUGUCUUAUGGUGGAAAGCUUUUGCGGUGUGGGAUGGGCCCGCGGCCUAUCAGCUUGUUGGUGGGGUGAUGGCCUACCAAGGCGACGACGGGUAGCCGGCCUGAGAGGGUGUCCGGCCACACUGGGACUGAGAUACGGCCCAGACUCCUACGGGAGGCAGCAGUGGGGAAUAUUGCACAAUGGGCGCAAGCCUGAUGCAGCGACGCCGCGUGGGGGAUGACGGCCUUCGGGUUGUAAACCUCUUUCACCAUCGACGAAGGCCCAUGUGAGUGGGUUGACGGUAGGUGGAGAAGAAGCACCGGCCAACUACGUGCCAGCAGCCGCGGUAAUACGUAGGGUGCGAGCGUUGUCCGGAAUUACUGGGCGUAAAGAGCUCGUAGGUGGUUUGUCGCGUUGUUCGUGAAAUUCCCUGGCUUAACUGGGGGCGUGCGGGCGAUACGGGCAGACUGGAGUACUGCAGGGGAGACUGGAAUUCCUGGUGUAGCGGUGGAAUGCGCAGAUAUCAGGAGGAACACCGGUGGCGAAGGCGGGUCUCUGGGCAGUAACUGACGCUGAGGAGCGAAAGCGUGGGGAGCGAACAGGAUUAGAUACCCCCGUAGUCC